GGUGCCCGGCGCGGGCGAUCCAGGCGCAUCGGUGCCGGGAGCACCGGGAGCGGGCGGCGGUGCGUCCGAUACCGGUGCCGCCGCGGUGGGCGCGG
rnacentral:tRNA from 1 species